rnacentral:rRNA from 1 species
CAUGCAAGUCGAACGGUCAGUAGCAAUACUGAUAGUGGCGCACGGGUGCGUAACGCGUACCAACCUACCCGAAUCUGGGGGAUAGCCCGCCGAAAGGCGGAUUAAUACCGCAUAAAACUGCAGCACGGCAUCGUGUAACAGUUAAAGAUUUAUUGGAUUCGGAUGGGGUUGCGUGCCAUUAGCUAGUUGGGGAGGUAACGGCUCACCAAGGCGACGAUGGCUAGGGGAGCUGAGAGGCUGGUCCCCCACACGGGCACUGAGAUACGGGCCCGACUCCUACGGGAGGCAGCAGUAGGGAAUAUUGGGCAAUGGACGAGAGUCUGACCCAGCCAUGCCGCGUGCAGGAUGAAGGCUUUCUGAGUCGUAAACUGCUUUUAUCAGGGAAGAAAAAAGGGGAUGCGUCCUCUACUGACGGUACCUGAUGAAUAAGCACCGGCUAACUCCGUGCCAGCAGCCGCGGUAAUACGGAGGGUGCAAGCGUUUGUCCGGAUUUAUUGGGUUUAAAGGGUGCGUAAGCGGUUCUUUAAGUCCGGGGUGAAAGCCCACUGCUCAACAGUGGAAC